AUUGAACGCUGGCGGCAGGCCUAACACAUGCAAGUCGAGCGAGCGGCGGACGGGUGAGUAAUGUAUGGGGACUGCCCGAUAGAGGGGGAUAACUACUGGAAACGGUGGCUAAUACCGCAUACUAUCGGAUAACCCAUAUGGGAUUAGCUAGUGGGUGGGGUAAAGGCUCACCUAGGCGACGAUCUCUAGCUGGUCUGAGAGGAUGCUAGGCCACACGGGGAGUGAGACAGGGCCCGGACUCCGAGGGAGGCAGCAGUGGGGAAUAUUGCACAAUGGGCGCAAGCCUGAGGCAGCCCGGCCGGGUGUAUGAAGAGGGCCUUGGGGUUGUAAAGUACUUUCGGCGGGGAGGCGUUACCCGCAGAGGAAGCACCGGCUAACUCCGUGCCAGCAGCCGCGGUAAUC
rnacentral:rRNA from 1 species